rnacentral:rRNA from 1 species
UACGUAGGUCCCGAGCGUUGUCCGGAUUUAUUGGGCGUAAAGCGAGCGCAGGUGGUUUAUUAAGUCUGGUGUAAAGGCAGUGGCUCAACCAUUGUAUGCAUUGGAAACUGGUAGACUUGAGUGCAGGAGAGGAGAGUGGAAUUCCAUGUGUAGCGGUGAAAUGCGUAGAUAUAUGGAGGAACACCGGUGGCGAAAGCGGCUCUCUGGCCUGUAACUGACACUGAGGCUCGAAAGCGUGAGGAGCAAACAGG